rnacentral:rRNA from 1 species
UACGGGGGGGGCAAGCGUUGUUCGGAAUUACUGGGCGUAAAGGGCUCGUAGGUGGCCAACUAAGUCAUACGUGAAAUCCCUCGGCUUAACCGGGGAACUGCGUCUGAUACUGGAUGGCUUGAGUUCGGGAGAGGGAUGCGGAAUUCCAGGUGUAGCGGUGAAAUGCGUAGAUAUCUGGAGGAACACCGGUGGCGAAGGCGGCAUCCUGGACCGGCAUUGACGCUGAGGCGCGAAAGCCAGGGGAGCAAACGGG